GGCGAGAUGGCCGAGCGGUCUAAGGCGCCAGACUAAGGUGUAAGCGAUCCAACCUGUACCCCGGUAUCUGGUCCGAAAGGGCGUGGGUUCGAAUCCCACUCUCGUCA